rnacentral:lncRNA from 1 species
UAAACCCCCAGCCCCUGUUAUUUGCUAUAAUAAUUCAUUAAGCUGUUUUUGUUUGUUUGUUUGUUUUUGACACAGGGUCUCACUUUGUACUUGAUGCUGACUUUGAACUCACUAUGUAACCCAAACCGGCCUGAAACUCAUAGUGAUCCUCCUGCCUCAGCCUCCCAAGUGCUUGGAUUACAGGCGUGAUCCCUGACACCUGCUGUACAUCCCUUUCUACAUCGAUUAUUCCCUGUGUCUUCUGGAUUUUCAACCUCACUUCACGAGAUCCAUCACAAGCCUUUCUUCCCUCUUACAAACAAUGGAAAAAGGAAAAAGGAAAAGAAGACCCAAGCUGUGAACAACAGAAACCCCUCCAGGAAUGUCCUUGCCUGCCAAGGUGGAAUGCUACCUCCUGCACCGGCUCCGGUGGCCCAGGGCCGGAGCCACAGGGUUUACUGGGACCUGAGCCAUGCUGGGACCUAGAGCCCGGGAAACCAAGAAUCACUUUCCUCUUCCCUGUUUUGUUUUGUUCAACUUCAAUAUACAUGAAAGUAUGGACAGCUAUUUUGAAGAGAAUGAGACACUCUACGCCAGCCAUUAGUGACUUCCUGUUGUCUGGUUUUGAAGACCUAAAACGCCUUCCUCAUUCUGUUCAGAUCAGUUUUAUACUAGGUUGUUUUGUAUGAAUUCUCUGUAUGUGAAGUCAUGGACAACUAUUUGGAAGACAACAAGAGACAAUAUGAUAGUGAAGAUCUCAGGUCGUCUAGCUUUGAAAUGUAUAUCUCUUACAUUGCUUUCUUAUGUCUUAUUUUGUUCAUUUUGCUGUAUUUAAUUUUACC